GUUAAAGAAGAAGUUAAAGAAGAAGUUAAAGAAGAAGUUGAAGAGGAAGUUAAAGAAGAAGUUAAAGAAGCAGUUGAAGAGGAAGUUAAAGAAGCAGUUGAAGAGGAAGUUAAAGAAGUAGUUGAAGAGGAAGUUAAAGAAGUAGUUGAAGAGGAAGUUAAAGAAGUAGUUGAAGAGGAAGAGGAAGUUGAAGAAGUAGUUGAAGCGGAAGUUAAAGAAGUAGUUGAAGAGGAAGUUAAAGAAGUAGUUAAAGAGGAAGUUAAAGAAAAUAAAGGAGAAGAAGACGAAGAGAAAGAAGGAGAGAAAGAAGAAGACGAAGAGAAAGAAGGAGAAAAAGAAGAAGACGAAGAGAAAGAAGGAGAGAAAGAAGAAGACAAAGAGAAAGAAGGAGAGAAAGAAGCAGUUGAAGAGGAAGUUGAAGAAGCAGUUGAAGAAGAAGAGGAAGAAGAAGUAGUUGAAGAAGCAGUUGAAGAAGAAGUUGAAGAAGCAGUUGAAGAAGAAGAGGAAGAAGAAGUAGUUGAAGAAGAAGAGGAAGAAGAAAAAGAGGAAGAAAAAGAAGAGGAAGAAAAAGAAGUUGAUGAAAACGUGCCAGAUGAUGACUUUGCUGACAUUCCUGACUUUCAUGAAAUAGAAAAUGUAGAUGAUAUAGAAAAUGUAGAAGAUAUAGAAAUAGAUAUAAAAGAUAUUAAAGAAGAAUUAGAAGAACAAGAAAUAUUA
rnacentral:lncRNA from 1 species